rnacentral:rRNA from 1 species
AACGCUGGCGGCGCGCCUAACACAUGCAAGUCGAGCGAGAAAGCCCGCCAACGGGUGAGUACAGCGGCGUACGGGUGAGUAACACGUGGGUGAUCUACCUCCUUGUGGGGAAUAACCCUGGGAAACCGGGGCUAAUACCGCAUAAGCCCGAGAGGGGAAAGCAGCAAUGCGCUGGGAGAGGAGCCCGCGGCCGAUUAGUUGGAUGGCAGGGUAAAGGCCUACCAUGACUGAGAUCGGUAGCCGGCCUGAGAGGGCACACGGCCACACUGGCACUGAAACACGGGCCAGACUCCUACGGGAGGCAGCAGUGGGGAAUCUUGCACAAUGGGGGAAACCCUGAUGCAGCGACGCCGCGUGAGCGAUGAAGCCCUUCGGGGUGUAAAGCUCUUUCGGCAGGGACGAAAACCGACGGUACCUGCAGAAGCAGCUGCGGCUAACUACGUGCCAGCAGCCGCGGUAAUACGUAGGCAGCAAGCGUUGUUCGGAGUUACUGGGCGUAAAGGGUGCGUAGGCGGCCCCUUAAGUUUGGUGUGAAAUCUCCCGGCUUAACUGGGAGGGUGCGCCGGAAACUGAGGGGCUAGAGUGUGGGAGAGGAGAGUGGAAUUCCUGGUGUAGCGGUGAAAUGCGUAGAUAUCAGGAGGAACACCGGUGGCGCAAGCGGCUCUCUGGACCACGACUGACGCUGAGGCACGAAAGCGUGGGAGCAAACAG